rnacentral:sRNA from 1 species
AGUAUAUAUACCUUUUUACUCAAUAACUAUUUUAACAAUUCACUAAAAUCCCCCACCCCAGAAGCACUGCCCGCCAAUAGUCCUCUUCUCAAACUGCCCAAUUGUGUUAUCCUUCCCCAUAUGGGCACUCAGAUUAUGAAGACUACUAUUGAAAUGAGUUUGCUGGCUGCCAAUAAUACUUUAAAUGCCAUCGAAGGGCAGCCUAUGAUAAAGCCCGCCUACUGAGAAGAUGUAAAAUAUGAAUAAAAGAAACUCUGCCGUUUCAAGUGUACUUUUAAAGUGUGCUAUUAAAUGCAACAAGUAAAUAAUUGUGCAAAUUUUUACUUUUACCGAACCCAACCCAAUAAAAGCACUUUAUCCGUUG